GAUGAACGCUGGCGGCGUGCCUAAUACAUGCCAGUCGAGCGAACAGACGAGGAGCUUGCUCCUCUGACGUUAGCGGCGGACGGGUGAGUAACACGUGGAUAACCUACCUAUAAGACUGGGAUAACUUCGGGAAACCGGAGCUAAUACCGGAUAAUAUAUUGAACCGCAUGGUUCAAUAGUGAAAGACGGUUUUGCUGUCACUUAUAGAUGGAUCCGCGACGCAUUAGCUAGUUGGUAAGGUAACGGCUUACCAAGGCAACGAUGCGUAGCCGACCUGAGAGGGUGAUCGGCCACACUGGAACUGAGACACGGUCCAGACUCAUACGGGAGGCAGCAGUAGGGAAUCUUCCGCAAUGGGCGAAAGCCUGACGGAGCAACGCCGCGUGAGUGAUGAAGGUCUUCGGAUCGUAAAACUCUGUUAUUAGGGAAGAACAAAUGUGUAAGUAACUAUGCACGUCUUGACGGUACCUAAUCAGAAAGCCACGGCUAACUACGUG
rnacentral:rRNA from 1 species